AGAGUUUGAUCAUGGCUCAGAAUGAACGCUGGCGGCGUGCUUAACACAUGCAAGUCGUGCGCGAAGGUGGCUUCGGCUGCCGGAGAGCGGCGAACGGGUGAGUAACACGUGGGUAAUCUGCCUGGGAGUGGGGGAUAACCUGGGGAAACUCGGGCUAAUACCGCAUACGUCGGUGGGACUUACGUCCUGCCAAGAAAGCUGGCCUCUACUUGUAAGCUAGCGCUCCUAGAGGAGCCCGCGGCUGAUUAGCUAGUUGGUGGGGUAAUGGCCCACCAAGGCUACGAUCAGUAGCCGGCCUGAGAGGGUGAUCGGCCACACUGGGACUGAGACACGGCCCAGACUCCUACGGGAGGCAGCAGUGGGGAAUAUUGGACAAUGGGCGCAAGCCUGAUCCAGCAACGCCGCGUGGAGGACGAAGGUCUUCGGAUCGUAAACUCCUGUCAGGCGGGACGAAGGGGCUCCGGCAAAUAGUCGGAGUCUUUGACGGUACCGCCAGAGGAAGCCCCGGCUAACUCCGUGCCAGCAGCCGCGGUAAUACGGGGGGGGCGAGCGUUAUUCGGAAUUAUUGGGCGUAAAGGGCGCGUAGGCGGCCUAGUAAGUCAAAGGUGAAAUCCCUCGGCUUAACCGAGGAACUGCCUUUGAUACUGCGAGGCUUGAGGCCGGGAGGGGAGCGGAAUUCCCAGUGUAGCGGUGAAAUGCGUAGAUAUUGGGAGGAACACCAGUGGCGAAGGCGGCUACCUGGACCGGUGCUGACGCUGAUGCGCGAAAGCGUGGGGAGCAAACAGGAUUAGAUACCCUAGUAGUCC
rnacentral:rRNA from 1 species